rnacentral:rRNA from 1 species
AUGGCAGAGCGGGUGGUCACCAUGGCGAUCGGGCCACUGGUGUCCAUGCUGAAGGACAAGGCGUCCAGCUACCUCCUGGACCAGUACAAGGUCAUGGAGGGAAUGGAGGAGCAGCACAAGAUUCUCAAACGCAAGCUUCCGGCCAUCCUCGACGUCAUCACCGAUGUCGAGGAGCAGGCCAUGGCACAGAGAGAAGGUGCCAAAGCCUGGCUUCAGGAGCUCAGGACAGUCGCCUAUGUGGCAAAUGAAGUCUUCGACGAAUUCAAGUACGAAGCCCUACGCCGUGAAGCCAAGAAGAAUGGGCACUACAUAAAGCUCGGCUUCGAUGUAAUUAAACUCUUCCCUACUCACAACCGUGUUGCGUUCCGUUACAAAAUGGGUCGCAAGCUUUGCCUGAUUCUGCAAGCCGUUGAGGUCCUCAUAGCAGAGAUGCAGGUCUUUGGGUUCAAGUACCAACCACAGCCACCGGUGUCCAAAGAGUGGAGGCAUACAGAUUAUGUUAGCAUUGACCCACAAGAAAUUGCCAGCAGAUCCAGACACGAAGAUAAGAAGAACAUUAUUGGUAUACUAGUUGAUGAAGCUAGCAAUGCAGAUCUCACAGUUGUUCCUGUGGUUGCAAUGGGGGGCCUUGGCAAGACCACAUUAGCGCAACUCAUAUACAAUGAUCCUGAAAUUCAGAAGCAUUUCCAGUUGCUGCUCUGGGUUUGUGUCUCUGAUACCUUUGAUGUGAACUCCCUGGCCAAGAGUAUAGUUGAAGCAUCCCCCAAUAAGAAUGUUGAUACAGACAAACCACCAUUGGAUAGACUUCAAAAACUGGUCAGCGGACAGCGGUAUCUCCUUGUAUUGGAUGAUGUUUGGGACAACAAAGAGUUACGUAAGUGGGAAAGGCUGAAGGUAUGUCUCCAGCAUGGUGGCAUGGGCAGUGCAGUGUUGACAACAACUCGUGAUAAACGAGUUUCUGAAAUUAUGGGUGCAGAUAGAGCUGCCUACAAUCUCAAUGCUUUGGAGGAUCACUUCAUAAAGGAAAUUAUUGAGGCUAGAGCGUUCAGUUCAAAGAAAGAAAAGCCUAUUGAACUAGUGGAGGUAGUUGACGAGAUUGUGAAGAGAUGUUGUGGCUCUCCAUUAGCUGCAACGGCACUGGGCUCUGUACUUUGUACCAAGACCAGUGUGAAAGAAUGGAAAGCUGUAUCAUCUGGAACCAGCGUUUGCACUGAUGAAACUGGAAUUUUGCCAAUACUCAAGCUUAGCUACAACGACUUGCCCGCACACAUGAAGCAGUGCUUUGCUUUCUGUGCUGUGUUUCCCAAGGAUUACAAGAUCAAUGUGGAGAAGCUUAUCCAACUAUGGAUUGCAAACGGCUUUAUCCUAGAAUACAAGGAAGAUAGUCCCGAAACAUUUGGAAAACAUAUUUUCGAUGAGCUUGUCUCAAGGUCAUUCUUUCUGGACCUAGAGGAAAGUAAGGACUACAGCGGGUAUUAUUCCAGCACAUGUAAAAUUCAUGAUCUUAUGCAUGAUAUUGCAAUGUCUGUUAUGGAAAAGGAAUGUGUUGUUGCAACUAUGGAACCAAGUGAAAUUGAGUGGCUUCCAGAUACUGCUCGGCAUUUGUUCUUGUCAUGUGAAGAAGCAGAACGUAUUUUGAAUGAUUCUAUGCAGGAAAGAUCCCCUGCUAUUCAAACAUUGCUAUGCAAUAGUGAUGUGUUCAGCCCAUUGCAGCAUCUAUCAAAAUACAACACUUUGCAUGCCUUGAAGCUCUGUCUGGGAACAGAAUCAUUUCUACUCAAACCAAAGUAUCUGCAUCACCUGAGGUACCUUGAUCUCUCAGAAAGUUCUAUCAAAGCACUUCCUGAGGAUAUAAGUAUUCUAUAUAACCUGCAAGUGUUGGACCUUUCCUACUGUAAUUAUCUUGAUCGACUUCCAAGGCAAAUGAAGUAUAUGACUUCCCUCUGCCACCUCUACACUCAUGGAUGUCGGAACUUGAAGAGCAUGCCUCCAGGACUUGAAAAUCUCACUAAGCUGCAGACACUCACAGUUUUUGUAGCAGGAGUUCCUGGCCCUGAUUGCGCUGAUGUUGGAGAGCUGCAUGGUCUAAACAUUGGUGGUCGGCUAGAGCUAUGCCAGGUAGAGAAUGUUGAAAAAGCAGAAGCAGAAGUGGCAAACCUUGGUGGUCAGCUAGAGCUGCAGCAUUUAAACCUUGGUGAUCAGCUAGAGCUACGCCGGGUAGAGAAUGUUAAAAAAGCAGAGGCAAAAGUGGCGAAUCUUGGAAACAAGAAGGAUCUCCGUGAACUGACAUUAAGAUGGACUGAGGUUGGCGACAGCAAGGUGCUCGACAAGUUCGAACCUCAUGGUGGGCUGCAGGUUCUGAAGAUAUAUAAAUAUGGAGGGAAGUGUAUGGGUAUGUUGCAAAACAUGGUUGAGAUCCAUCUUUCUGGUUGUGAAAGAUUGCAGGUUUUGUUCAGUUGUGGUACAUCCUUCACGUUUCCAAAACUGAAGGUGCUUACACUAGAGCAUUUAUUGGAUUUUGAGAGAUGGUGGGAAAUAAAUGAGGCACAAGAAGAACAGAUAAUAUUUCCUCUGCUUGAGAAGUUGUUUAUUCGGCAUUGUGGAAAGCUGAUAGCAUUACCUGAAGCACCAUUGCUUGGAGAACCAAGUCGUGGAGGUAAUAGACUGGUAUGCACACCAUUUUCUCUGCUUGAGAACUUGUUUAUUUGGUAUUGUGGAAAGCUGGUACCAUUGCGUGAAGCACCACUGGUUCAUGAAAGUUGUAGUGGAGGUUAUAGGUUGGUACAGUCAGCAUUUCCUGCUCUAAAGGUACUUGCAUUGGAAGACUUGGGGAGUUUUCAGAAAUGGGAUGCUGCUGUCGAAGGAGAACCGAUAUUGUUUCCUCAGCUUGAGACACUAUCAGUUCAGAAAUGCCCAAAGCUAGUAGAUUUACCCGAAGCACCAAAACUCAGUGUACUAGUAAUUGAAGAUGGCAAGCAAGAGGUGUUCCAUUUUGUAGACAGGUAUUUAUCUUCAUUGACCAAUCUGACACUGAGGCUAGAACACAGAGAAACAACAUCAGAGGCUGAAUGCACUUCAAUUGUACCUGUGGACAGCAAAGAGAAAUGGAACCAGAAAUCCCCUCUUACAGUUCUGGAGUUAGGAUGCUGCAACUCAUUCUUUGGACCAGGUGCACUAGAGCCGUGGGACUAUUUUGUACACCUUGAAAAGUUGGAAAUUGAUAGAUGUGAUGUGCUCGUCCACUGGCCAGAGAAUGUGUUCCAAAGCUUGGUAUCCUUGAGGACAUUACUGAUUAGAAACUGCAAAAAUCUGACUGGAUAUGCACAAGCUCCUCUUGAGCCGUUGGCGUCUGAAAGGAGUCAGCACCCGAGAGGUCUGGAGUCUCUUUGCUUAAGAAACUGCCCAAGUUUAGUAGAGAUGUUCAACGUCCCGGCAUCUCUCAAGAAAAUGACUAUUGGUGGGUGCAUUAAGCUUGAGUCCAUAUUCGGCAAGCAACAGGGCAUGGCAGAGUUAGUCCAAGUAUCUUCUAGCAGUGAGGCAAUCAUGCCUGCAACUGUAUCAGAGUUGCCAUCCACACCCAUGAAUCACUUUUGUCCAUGCCUAGAAGAUCUAUGCUUAUCAGCAUGUGGAAGCUUACCAGCGGUUCUAAAUCUGCCUCCAUCCUUAAAGACCUUAGAAAUGGAUCGUUGUAGUAGUAUUCAAGUCCUAUCAUGCCAGCUGGGUGGGCUCCAGAAACCAGAAGCCACUACCUCCAGAAGCAGAAGUCCUAUCAUGCCACAGCCACUAGCAGCAGCAACAGCACCAGCUGCAAGAGAGCAUUUACUUCCUCCCCAUCUCGAAUAUCUAACAAUACUGAACUGUGCUGGCAUGUUGGGUGGGACUCUCCGUCUGCCUGCACCCCUCAAGAGACUGUUCAUUAUGGGCAACAGUGGGCUGACAUCGCUGGAGUGUCUGUCGGGAGAGCACCCCCCAUCGCUGGAAUCCCUUUGGCUUGAAAGAUGCAGUACCCUGGCAUCCCUGCCGAAUGAGCCGCAAGUAUACAGGUCUCUCUGGUCUCUUGAAAUUACAGGCUGCCCUGCUAUAAAGAAGCUCCCUAGAUGCCUGCAGCAGCAACUGGGCAGCAUCAAACGCAAAUGGCUAGAUGCCCGUUAUGAAGUAACGGAAUUCAAACCAUUGAAACCGAAGACAUGGAAGGAAAUACCGAGGCUAGUCCGUGAGCGGAGGCAGGCCUGCCGGAGCUGA